GGCUAGACGGUCCUCACCGGUCGCCUUGCCAAUUUUUGUUGUGUUUGUGUGUACUUUGUGGUGUUCUCCUCUCCAUCCUGUGCUGUGUGUCUGUAUGCUGGAACACGGACUUCCGGAAGCCGUGGCACGGAACGGCAGCUGACCCGGGGGGAGAAUCCUGAGCUGGAAUCACCGCACCUGUGCUUUAUCAUUUCGCCGGCUGCUACUAAUCUGAAGCAAACCUAUUUAAUGGUGCGGUCGGGUCACAACCAACGCUGGAACGUUGAGCUAAACCGGGAUCCAGGGAUCGGAGGAGGAGCGGGCACAAAAGGAGUUGUUUUGGAUUAUCACUGCACUGUCACCACGGGGAGAGGUCACCGUAUCACUGCACCGCUCUUUUGGAUUACAGACUCGAACUGUUGCCUUAUUUUUCACUGUGAAUAAAAUUCACUGCCACGCUGCAA